rnacentral:rRNA from 1 species
AAAGCGUGCGCAGGCGGUUAUGUAAGACAGAUGUGAAAUCCCCGGGCUCAACCUGGGAACUGCAGUUAGUGACUGCAUAGCUGGAGUACGGCAGAGGGGGAUGGAAUUCCGCGUGUAGCAGUGAAAUGCGUAGAUAUGCGGAGGAACACCGAUGGCGAAGGCAAUCCCCUGGGCCUGUACUGACGCUCAUGCACGAAAGCGUGGGGAGCAAACAGGAUUAGAUCCCCUGU